UGGCAUUUGCAACCUGAGCUCAAAACGUGGAUUAACCCCGCUUGAACUUUAGGCAUAUUCAUUUAAGCGGAAGGGAAAAAGAAAACCUACCUAGGGAUUUCCCUUAGAUAACUGGGCGAAAGUGAAAACGG
rnacentral:rRNA from 1 species